GAGUGUGUGUGUGUGUGUUUGUGUGUGUGUGUGUGUGUGUGUGUGUGUGUGUGUGUGUGUGUGUGUGUGUGUGUGUGUGUGUGUGUGUGUGUGUGUGUGUGUGUGCGUUUGUCAAAGUGACAUAUGGGGACAUUUUUAUGAAAUUUCACCUUACAUAUGAGGACCUGUUGAAAUAUGAGGACAUUUUCCAUGUCCCCAUAUUUCCCGCAAUGCUAUCGUGUUCUAAACACUCCCAGCAUGUUCCCAGACCAAAAAUCUCUAAAGUCUUCAUUUGUCAAAUUUUCAGAAAAAGUGUGUGAAAGUGUGUUUAAUUUUUUUGGUCACCUUCGAUUUUGCCCCUAGUGGCCAUCUUUGCUAUUAUGACACACACACACACACACUUGUCCUCAUAUGUCAUAUGUCCUCAUAUGUCAUGUGGGUCAGAAACUCACACACUCCAACAUUUUGAAAAACAUCUAACCAUUACAGCAAUAAACAUACUCUUGAAUUCUGAAUCAAAUAACAACACAUUUUCAACUGAUCUGAUGAUCUCAUCCUUUUUAGUGUUAGUUUUAUCUAUUAAUUUGGUUUAUCUGGAGAGGAUUUGGGCUAGACAAUUAGUAAUAAAAUGAUUAUGGUGAUGAUUUAAUUUGUUUGAUUCAGUAUUUUACUGUAUUGGACUUUUUGCUAUUCUGUUGACUAAAAUACAAUGCCGCACAAUAAUUGCUUUAAAUGUGCCUGAAAUGUAGGUUUUUGCAUAAAAAAAAAAAAACCUUCAACCUUGAUUGAGACAAAGGCAAUAAUUCAAAUGCAAUUCAAACUACACACAGUAUUUAAUAUUUUCAAAUGGUUACAAUAGCACAUUAUUUGGGUAUUUUUAUCUUUGGGGCAAAUUUAUGAUUAAUAUGGGGAUUGUUUUUGGAGGUAUUCACUUUACAUGGUGUUCAAGAUGGUUACUUCCGCCCACUCUGAAGAGUCUCGGCGUCUGAUUGGUCCAAUUUUCAGUUAGGCGCCGCCUGAUUGGCCGCUGGACGAUGUCUGCUCCUAACAGAUGGCUAAAUCACUAGUUAACUAUUUUCAUCAUGGAAGUUAUACAGCUCAUGUAUCACACUUAAUAUUGAAUAUAUAUAUGAAAAGGGUUUUCCAAAAGGACCAUUUAUAAUCGAAAUACACAACUUCACACACGAUUUUGAGCACAACAGAGCGCUCAGUGAACAUCACUUCCGGGACCUGCAUCACCGGAGGGGGACAUCUAUCUUGGCCACAAACCAUCUUUGACAGUCUUCGACAGCAUGGUUGAAUCAGGUGAGCAUAAAAUGGAGUUUAACGUAAUUAAAUAGACCAAUGUUUUUUAACAUAGGAAAAUAGUUCAUUAUAAUCAACAGUUAAAUGUUGUUGUUAUUAAUUGCAAUCAGAUUUGAUUUUAUGAGGUUAAAUUAAGCAUUUCAGUUCUGGGCCAAGGCCAAGGCAUUUAACAUUUUUUUUUUAAAGUUGCAUAGAAGAUUAUAAGUAGCAGUGAUUGUCACACACACUAGGUGUGGUGAAAUAAUUCUCUCCAUUUGACCCAUCACCCUUGAUCACUAUGCUAGUAAACCUUUUCUUAAUUUUAAACAAGACAGACUAGAGUUCUUCAAAUUGUUUAUACUUUUUCUCAAAUACAAAUAUUUCAAGCUGAUAAGCACUGUGGACUUGGCAUGUUACUGAUAUUGUUACAUUACUACUUUGUUUGAAAAGCUUCAUGUCUGCACUGAGCCUAAAUUUAACAGUUUUUGAAGGGUUUAGUUCUUUGUUUUAUUUCUGUGUCACUGACUUUUUUCAUUUUUAUGUGUGGAUUUGUUAGGCGCAUCAACACAUGAUAUAGACAUCGUGCCCAAAAGAAGAGCGAGACGUAAUCCUGAGGCUGAAGCCACCGAGUUUAUUUGAUCUGGAUGUGACAAGUCUUGUUUUAAGGCCCAGUGGAUCAAUGAUUGGAAAGACACCAACUGUUGAUGUUCUAUCUCAACAUUCUCCAGAUUCAUGUGAGCGAUAAACCGACUUCAUCCCUCCAACAGACACCAACUGUUGGGGUUCUAUCUCAACAUUCUCCAGAUUCAGAUGUGAGCGAUAAACCGACUUCAUCCCUCCAACAGAAACCAACUGUUGAGGUUCCAUCUCAACAUUAUCCGGAUUCAGAUGUGAGCCAUUAACUGACUUCAUCCCUCCAACAGAAACCAACUGUUUGAGGUUCUAUCUCAACAUUCUCUAGAUUCAGAUGACAGCCAUAAACCGACUUCAUCCCUCCAACAGAUUGACAGCAGGACAAAUCGCUGGAAGUGGGUAUGUCUCAAGCUUCUUCCACUUGGUCCACUCCAAAGCGGGCUGCAAAGGGGAAGAAGUGGAAGCAGUUGAAUGACACAUGUUGCAUUUUGUAACUGGCAACAAAGUACCAGGUAAAAAAGAUUGUGAAGCCUGCCUCCAUAAAGAACUAGUAGCUCUACAGGACAGAGAUUGGCUUGCCAUCAAGUACUACAUCCAUAACAGAAUUAUAUUAAAAAAGGGAAAAAAAAUGUUUUCCCACAUCUUCUGUGGUAGUUUGAGUAUGUUACCAGCAAUUAAAAAAGCAAAAUAAACAGCAAGCGUUUUGUAUUUAUUCCAGAUAAUUCUUAGCGACAAAAUCCACAAAAACAAUUCAGUUACACUUAGUCGACAAUUACAUUUUUACCCAUGUUUCUUUUAAACUCUUCUUGGUUUUAGAUUACAGUAGCAUGGGAUUGGGAUUUUUUUUUUAAAUGACAACACAUCAACUAAACCAACUCAGGUGGUUUUGUUAAGUCUCUGAUGUCAUUAGCCUCAUAUGUCACAUGAACCUGAAAUCUUAAACACUCUGUGACGUCAUGGUUGUCAUAUUUCACAAACUUGAAAUCUUAAACACUCUGUGACGUCAUGGUCAUCAUAUGUCACAUAAACUUGAAAUCUU